UACGAAGGGGGCUAGCGUUGCUCGGAAUCACUGGGCGUAAAGCGCACGUAGGCGGAUUGCUAAGUCAGGGGUGAAAUCCUGGAGCUCAACUCCAGAACUGCCUUCGAUACUGGGAGUCUCGAGUUCGGGAGAGGUGAGUGGAACUGCGAGUGUAGAGGUGAAAUUCGUAGAUAUUCGCAAGAACACCAGUGGCGAAGGCGGCUCACUGGCCCGAUACUGACGCUGAGGUGCUAAAGCGUGGGGAGCAAACAGG
rnacentral:rRNA from 1 species